GAAGGCACACCCGGAGAACUGAAACAUCUUAGUACCCGGAGGAAGAGAAAGAAAAUUCGAUUCCCUUAGUAGCGGCGAGCGAAACGGGAAGAGCCCAAACCAACAAGCUUGCUUGUUGGGGUUGUAGGACACUCUAUACGGAGUUACAAAGGACGACAUUAGACGAAUCAUCUGGAAAGAUGAAUCAAAGAAGGUAAUAAUCCUGUAGUCGAAAAUGUUGUCUCUCUUGAGUGGAUCCUGAGUACGACGGAGCACGUGAAAUUCCGUCGGAAUCCGGGAGGACCAUCUCCUAAGGCUAAAUACUCUCUAGUGACCGAUAGUGAACCAGUACCGUGAGGGAAAGGUGAAAAGCACCCCGGAAGGGGAGUGAAAUAGAACCUGAAACCGUGUGCUUACAAGUAGUCAGAGCCCGUUAAUGGGUGAUGGCGUGCCUUUUGUAGAAUGAACCGGCGAGUUACGAUUUGAUGCAAGGUUAAGCAGUAAAUGUGGAGCCGUAGCGAAAGCGAGUCUGAAUAGGGCGUUUAGUAUUUGGUCGUAGACCCGAAACCAGGUGAUCUACCCUUGGUCAGGUUGAAGUUCAGGUAACACUGAAUGGAGGACCGAACCGACUUACGUUGAAAAGUGAGCGGAUGAACUGAGGGUAGCGGAGAAAUUCCAAUCGAACCUGGAGAUAGCUGGUUCUCUCCGAAAUAGCUUUAGGGCUAGCCUCAAGUGAUGAUUAUUGGAGGUAGAGCACUGUUUGGACGAGGGGCCCCUCUCGGGUUACCGAAUUCAGACAAACUCCGAAUGCCAAUUAAUUUAACUUGGGAGUCAGAACAUGGGUGAUAAGGUCCGUGUUCGAAAGGGAAACAGCCCAGACCACCAGCUAAGGUCCCAAAAUAUAUGUUAAGUGGAAAAGGAUGUGGCGUUGCCCAGACAACUAGGAUGUUGGCUUAGAAGCAGCCAUCAUUUAAAGAGUGCGUAAUAGCUCACUAGUCGAGUGACACUGCGCCGAAAAUGUACCGGGGCUAAACAUAUUACCGAAGCUGUGGAUUGUCCUUUGGACAAUGGUAGGAGAGCGUUCUAAGGGCGUUGAAGCAUGAUCGUAAGGACAUGUGGAGCGCUUAGAAGUGAGAAUGCCGGUGUGAGUAGCGAAAGACGGGUGAGAAUCCCGUCCACCGAUUGACUAAGGUUUCCAGAGGAAGGCUCGUCCGCUCUGGGUUAGUCGGGUCCUAAGCUGAGGCCGACAGGCGUAGGCGAUGGAUAACAGGUUGAUAUUCCUGUACCACCUAUAAUCGUUUUAAUCGAUGGGGGGACGCAGUAGGAUAGGCGAAGCGUGCGAUUGGAUUGCACGUCUAAGCAGUAAGGCUGAGUAUUAGGCAAAUCCGGUACUCAUUAAGGCUGAGCUGUGAUGGGGAGAAGACAUUGUGUCUUCGAGUCGUUGAUUUCACACUGCCGAGAAAAGCCUCUAGAUAGAAAAUAGGUGCCCGUACCGCAAACCGACACAGGUAGUCAAGAUGAGAAUUCUAAGGUGAGCGAGCGAACUCUCGUUAAGGAACUCGGCAAAAUGACCCCGUAACUUCGGGAGAAGGGGUGCUCUUUAGGGUUAACGCCCAGAAGAGCCGCAGUGAAUAGGCCCAAGCGACUGUUUAUCAAAAACACAGGUCUCUGCUAAACCGUAAGGUGAUGUAUAGGGGCUGACGCCUGCCCGGUGCUGGAAGGUUAAGAGGAGUGGUUAGCUUCUGCGAAGCUACGAAUCGAAGCCCCAGUAAACGGCGGCCGUAACUAUAACGGUCCUAAGGUAGCGAAAUUCCUUGUCGGGUAAGUUCCGACCCGCACGAAAGGCGUAACGAUUUGGGCACUGUCUCAACGAGAGACUCGGUGAAAUCAUAGUACCUGUGAAGAUGCAGGUUACCCGCGACAGGACGGAAAGACCCCGUGGAGCUUUACUGUAGCCUGAUAUUGAAAUUCGGCACAGCUUGUACAGGAUAGGUAGGAGCCUUUGAAACGUGAGCGCUAGCUUACGUGGAGGCGCUGGUGGGAUACUACCCUAGCUGUGUUGGCUUUCUAACCUGCACCACUUAUCGUGGUGGGAGACAGUGUCAGGCGGGCAGUUUGACUGGGGCGGUCGCCUCCUAAAAGGUAACGGAGGCGCUCAAAGGUUCCCUCAGAAUGGUUGGAAAUCAUUCAUAGAGUGUAAAGGCAUAAGGGAGCUUGACUGCGAGACCUACAAGUCGAGCAGGGUCGAAAGACGGACUUAGUGAUCCGGUGGUUCCGCAUGGAAGGGCCAUCGCUCAACGGAUAAAAGCUACCCCGGGGAUAACAGGCUUAUCUCCCCCAAGAGUUCACAUCGACGGGGAGGUUUGGCACCUCGAUGUCGGCUCAUCGCAUCCUGGGGCUGUAGUCGGUCCCAAGGGUUGGGCUGUUCGCCCAUUAAAGCGGUACGCGAGCUGGGUUCAGAACGUCGUGAGACAGUUCGGUCCCUAUCCGUCGUGGGCGUAGGAAAUUUGAGAGGAGCUGUCCUUAGUACGAGAGGACCGGGAUGGACAUACCUCUGGUGUACCAGUUGUCGUGCCAACGGCAUAGCUGGGUAGCUAUGUGUGGACGGGAUAAGUGCUGAAAGCAUCUAAGCAUGAAGCCCCCCUCAAGAUGAGAUUUCCCAACUUCGGUUAUAAGAUCCCUCAAAGAUGAUGAGGUUAAUAGGUUCGAGGUGGAAGCAUGGUGACAUGUGGAGCUGACGAAUACUAAUCGAUCGAAGACUUAAUCAA
rnacentral:rRNA from 1 species